rnacentral:rRNA from 1 species
GGGUGAUGGCCUACCAAGGCGACGACGGGUAGCCGGCCUGAGAGGGUGUCCGGCCACACUGGGACUGAGAUACGGCCCAGACUCCUACGGGAGGCAGCAGUGGGGAAUAUUGCACAAUGGGCGCAAGCCUGAUGCAGCGACGCCGCGUGAGGGAUGACGGCCUUCGGGUUGUAAACCUCUUUCAGUACCGACGAAGCGUGAGUGACGGUAGGUACAGAAGAAGCACCGGCCAACUACGUGCCAGCAGCCGCGGUAAUACGUAGGGUGCGAGCGUUGUCCGGAAUUACUGGGCGUAAAGAGCUCGUAGGUGGUUUGUCGCGUUGUUCGUGAAAACUCACAGCUUAACUGUGGGCGUGCGGGCGAUACGGGCAGACUGGAGUACUGCAGGGGAGACUGGAAUUCCUGGUGUAGCGGUGGAAUGCGCAGAUAUCAGGAGGAACACCGGUGGCGAAGGCGGGUCUCUGGGCAGUAACUGACGCUGAGGAGCGAAAGCGUGGGGAGCGAACAGGAUUAGAUACCCUGGUAGUCCACGCCGUAAACGGUGGGUACUAGGUGUGGGUUUCCUUCCUUGGGAUCCGUGCCGUAGCUAACGCAUUAAGUACCCCGCCUGGGGAGU